AUGCAUUUUUUCGUGUUUCGGGAUUGUUUAGUUUCCGAAACUGGUUUAGUUUUAAAAUGAAAAUUUAUGGACUCAAAAUUUGCAUUGGGGACUGAAACACCCCAGCUUCUGGAGUCUUACAUAAAAUGGUUCGGAAACAAACCAGUUUGGAUCGAGUGAGCAACCAGUUCUGACAGUCUAUCUCCUGCCAGUCAGCUGUAAGUAAACGGUUUGUCAAAUAGUUCCGCGCUCCCUGGGCAGUCCCAAUCAACGGCUACCCGGAGGUAAUUAGUGGAGCACCCAACAACAUGUUGGGAGGCAACACCUUCCCCACUUGGCCCUCGUCGGGCGCCGAUCGAUUGAUCCAUUAAAUUAAUUGAGUGUAGUCGAAUCGCUUGCCAACAAUGUGCGUUCGAGGCGAGGAGCGCAAAGGUGAGGGCGCCGCAAUGUCCACUGUCACGUGCCCCUCGCGCGGCUGCAUCCGAUUUAAUGGACUCGCCAGCCGGCGCAACUGCCUCCAGACGCCCUAAUUGAUGCCACAUGCAAAUGUGUGGCAGGUGACGACGGGACUGGGGAGGUGCAAUGCACCAUGUCUGGGUGAGACGGCGUACGCAGUCUGUUGUCCCAGCUGCUCAAACACAGAAACCACAGAUGCCCCCGGCGAGGGUGGGGUCAGUUCGAUGGGCUCCAAUAUUUUAAGCAUAUAAUUGAAGAGCAAAUAAAUGGAUCUCAGUGGAGGCUUGGAGCAAGGCUUGACUUCCCUAGCCAACCCGUGGAACCCACGCCCUUGGGCUGCAGAAGUAAGCCAGACGCGGAGCACGUGUUCUGGACUGCUGCUUAUCUCCGGUUUCUUCUGGCCCGGCUCUUUAAUUAAGUUAACAACUGUUUUCGUAAUGCACUGCCGGCAGCCACCGGCAGCAUAGUAAUUUCCCUCUGUUUUUCACGUUUUUCCUUUGCGGACACAACAAAGAGCGACCGGCACAUGCUGCGGUGCUUCGGGUUUGGGGUUUGGGCCGUGCUUGGCUGGUUAACUGCUUUUUGGUUGGCCACGCUUGCCUUCGGUGAGGGGAAGGGGAAGGGGUGACCGACAAUCGAUAGCGUGGGAGCUGAAAUCUGCUGCAGCCGAGUCACCUGAUGGCGAAUUAAGCAGUCAAAUCUAAUGAGAAAUAAAGUGCCAAUUGGGGAGACUGGGUCAGUCAGUCAGGCAGUUGAGGAAGUGCCACAAAUCCACACGCAAGUCGGCCAUCAAUUGAGCAACUCUGCCAAUUGAAAAGCAGUUAUCGGGAAAGACUGCGGACAUGCAUUUUUGCCAGGCACUUUAUGCAACGAGCAGGUACUUUCCAGAGCGAUCCAGAGCAAUACCAUUAUUCAAUCGGCUUUAAUAAGGCGGAGAAAGAGUUGUGAAAGCCGCUCCGCAAUCGCCAACUAGCAAAUAGUUUCUCAAUAGCAGGCAGUUAGGGGCCGAGAUUUUCGAGGCUACAAAUUGGAAUGGAAUCUGACCUCCGUACCCUUUGGGAAUGGCCGAUAAUUCGUUAAAAUAAAGAGGCCCUGCCGUCAGCACAGAUUCCGAAGUAAAGGUUAUUCUUUCGAGUAAUUGAAUUCUCCCAAACCGACAAUUAUUUCAAUCCGAGGCACUGUCAAGAGUUCCCAUGCCCGUUUCGGGGCAGCAUCACGUACAGCCAAGUUCGCAGGCCGCUUAGACUUUUUAAUGGUUUUCUAAUUAAUUUUUCCCCACGAGUACGGAGUACCGAGUGCUUCAAGGAGAGGAGGGCUCGAGAGCACUGAACCCUGCUUCUGGUGGAAAGUGAGAAAUCAAGAGCUCCAACUAGCCGGAUCAUUGUAAUGUCAAAGUCAUAAAGCACGAUGCCCAAUUGGGUAGAUUGAAGCGCGGGUCGGCCCUCAUAAUGCGAAUGGCGGGGAUGAUGUGGCUGGGGGAGUGGCUGGCUGCGGCAAGAACAGCAGCCAUAGCUCAUAGGCACUGGCGCUGAAAACAAUUGUGUGUUGCACAUGCACAUGGGCCACAACUUGUUGCAACUUUCGUGACCAUGAGGGUCAGAGUCAAAGUUCAAUAAAAUCCAAUUAAACCACCGCAGUCGGCCCUGCCCGCAGACCUUUCACCAGAGCCCGUUGCUCGUAAAUCUAAGCGAACCUGCAACCAGUCACCAGCAACCAGCAACCUGCAACCUACAACCUACAACCUGCAGAGUAAAGACCCGAAAGCCGAAAACAAAAGACCAAGUUGCCAGUCAGCAAGUCAGCCAGUCAAGUGAUUUAAUAAAAGGCCACGUGAACUUUCACCGGCUUUGGUGUUUUCUCCUCUCGGAUUCCGGCUGCACUGCGAGCUCAAUUGAACUGAUGCGGCAAGUCGUCGGAGGGGCGCUGCGGCGGUAGGUGCAACUUCAUUGUGCAACUAUGCCGGGCCUUAAGUAAUUUAUUUAUUCCUCCGCUGCCUUCGUUAAUUUGCCGGCUCUCUGCCACAGCCGCUGCCGCUGCUGCUGGCCGGCUAUUUUUAGCAUAUUUAUUGCAUGCGCAAAACAGGGCAACAAUGAGGUCGGCCACGCGGUUACCAGAGGUCAAUUUAUGGCUCGAACUGCGGAUCUGCGGCCGCGCCCGGCUCUCGGGUUUUUAUGACAGUUGCUUCCGGCGAUGAGCGGCGUCGUCGGAAUGUCGUUCUUCUCGAGUGCCUCAAGUGGCAAGGCAAGUGGAGUGCGACACAGCGGCAGUAAAUUCGGAAGUUGCAAGUUAAACAGGCCCUCCCACCCUCGCCCUUGGCUGUGCCCUUGGCAACUACCUUCUAAUCGGCGUAAUGCCUCAGUGUCAGUGUUGCCGCCGUAACAGAAUUUUGAUUUAAAUUUGAAUUGUUUAGAAUAAGCACACAUAUGUAAACUUAUCGAUAGGUUUAGUAACGGCCAAAAGAAGGAAAAGCGUCGGCCAUCGCUAUUAGAAAGAAGAAGAGAAAUACGGUGAAGUUAACGUGUGGAUAAAACACGAAGUUUUUUAGCGCGCUUUUCACAUUUUUGUGGCACGCAUAUGGACUAAUAAAGAUUAUUAUUAAGAAAUUGUGUGUUUGCUAAAGAAACGUGGGGCCACACGUCCCGGAGACAACAUUUCUAAAAAACUUCGAGUUCCAAAAAACUUCGUUACCUACGGAUCAAAGCGUCGGAUUCCCAGCAGAUAACAGCUAGGUCGAGCUGAUCACGUCGAUUACAGGAACGAAAGGACUUUUGCGGAUCAAGGCAGAGGUAAAGGCGUGGCUGCCCUAGAAAGAAAAGCUAGGUAAGCACGCAGAUCGAACGAAGAAGCACACGUAUGCAUGCAGACGCGUCAGAACACGCACGCCAGUUAGAGUGGAGCAUGAACAUAGAAGUGUGCCAAAUUUGUGGGAACAAGAACGAGACAGCGUCAGAGAAUUGGGUUCAGUGUGACGUUUGCGGAAGGUGGUACCAUUUUGAGUGUGCCGGCGUAGAGGACGACAUUGAGAGCAAGGACUGGAGUUGCGAUUUCUGCCUAGCGGGUUGCAGCCACAUAGCACCGUACGGCAGUAUGCAAAGAUCACCGGUACAGCCUCAAACACGCGAAGACGCAAUGGCCACCCCCGAACCGCACGACAAAGCGCUAGCUGUCGAUACUCUAAUCGAUAUGGCCGGCAGCGGAGAGAACACACACGCGCAGGAAGGAAAUCCGGAAAGGAAUAGGAACCAAUUGCUUUUAAAGAUGCUAGAGGAGAAAAGGCAAUCGGAGGCAAAGUUUAUAGAAGAAAAGUAUAAACUUCUCAUGCAGAUGAAUCCCACUGAUGUACCGGAAGCCGGGAUGGUUCGAGCUACAGAUUCACCAACGAGCAGUCAAAUAGCGGCCCGGCAAGCUAUACCAAAAGAUCUUCCAACAUUCAGUGGAGAUCCGGAGGAGUGGCCGUUAUUUAUCAGCACGUUCGAACACAGCACCACAGCAGCUGGAUACACCAACGUGGAAAACAUGCUACGUCUGCAAAAGUCGCUUAAAGGAAAGGCUCGUGAACUGAUUAGGGAUAAACUUCUACUUCCGAACCUAGUUCCAGAUGUCAUCAGCACUCUGAAGAUGUUCUUCGGCAGACCAGAGCAUAUCCUAGAAAAAAUGGUGGAAAAGGUGCGAAGACUGGCACCACCCAAAGACAGAUUGGAGGCGUUAAUAGAGUACGCGCUAGCAGUUCGCAACGUCUGUGCGAUUAUGGAGGCAUGCGAUCUGAAGGCACAUCUUAACAAUCCAAUGCUGGUUAAGGAGCUCGUAGAUAAGCUUCCCAACCAACACAAGCUAAAUUGGGCAAUGCAACCUCGCGAUGAUAGGAUAGCAGCAGUUAAAGCAUUCAGCGAUUGGUUGUACAAGAUCGCAGAGGCAGCAUCUUCAGUAGUGGCGCCAUCGUUUUACAAAUCAGGCGCAGUUAACACUCACAACAGUCGCGCAACGCAAGGACAAGCACGAUCGAACGCAAGCCAAACGGAAGCAGCUCAGCAGCAAGUUCAAUCGGGGUGCGUGGCGUGCGGCGACAUCAGUCACCGCCCACCACAAUGUCAGGUGUUCUUGAACCUCGACACGCAGCACAGGUGGCAGAUAAUCACAUCGAGUAAAGCAUGUUUCUGCUGCCUCAAAGUACAUCGCAAUAGAUGCCGAACCGGAAACUGUGGAAUUAACGGAUGUACAAGGCGGCACCAUGAGCUACUUCACACGGAACAAGGCAGUACACAAAAUCUCGUGAGUACGCAUCAAGACGACAACUACGGAAGUCAAUUCUUUCGCAUCAUUCCAGUUAAGCUACGCAAUGGCAGCAGGAUGAUCGAAAUCUAUGCAUUCCUAGACGAAGGAUCAUCCGUGACUUUAGUAGACGCAUCUGUAUUCCAAAGAUUAGGAAUACAAGGCCAAGCUGCGCCAAUGUGUUUACAGUGGACCGCAGAAACAACUCGAAUUGAGAGCGAAUCCGUAAAAGCAUCAGUCCAAAUCUCUGAAACCAAUUCCGAUAGAUUUUAUUGGUUGAACAACGUCCAGACCGUUCAGAACCUAGCACUGCCAAAACAGACAGUCGAGAUGAAAGAACUACGUAGCAGAUUCCAGCAUCUGAGAGACUUACCGCUAGAGUCCUAUUCUGCCCAGCCGACAUUGCUAAUCGGGUCGAAUAAUUGGAAGCUAGCAGUCCCUCGCAGGAUCCGAGAAGGGAAAUGGAACGAACCGAUAGCAUCGAAGUGUAUGCUAGGAUGGACCAUCCAAGGAUCGACGAACCCCCAACGAUCUAUUGUCAUGCAUCACUGCGACUGCGAUUGGCAGGAGCUUCAUGACGAUAUCAAGAACCAUUACAGCCUUGAGACGCUCGUACCACGUAAGCUAUAUUCAGCCGAAGAUAAGCUAGCAGUCAAAAUAUUAGAGACCACCUGCCAAGAGAAGUCAGGAAAAUACGAAGUCGGUUUUCCGUGGCGUGGUGGCAUCGACAAACUGCCAGAGAGCCGCGGUAACGCUCUGAAACGCCUUACCUGCAUAAAGAAAAAGGUAUCUCAGGAACCUGAUAUGUACGACAAGAUUGACGCCCAAGUCAGGAACCUUCUAGACAAAGGAUACGCGGUUAAGCUAUCCAAGGAGGAAACCUGCCGUGAGAACAGCCGUACGUGGUAUCUGCCGAUAUUCAUAGCGCGAAAUCCAAAUAAGCCGAGUAAGCUAAGACUGGUAUGGGAUGCAGCCGCGAAGUCACACGGAUGUGCACUGAAUGACUACUUACUUAAGGGACCAGAUUGCCUGAACCCACUCAUAGAGGUCUUACUAGCCUUUCGUGUCAACAAGAUUGCGAUUUGCGGAGACAUUGCGGAAAUGUUUCACAGGAUCAACAUCCGUGAGGAGGAUAUGCACGCGCAACGAUUCUUGUGGUAUGACAGAAGCAGCGAUAAAGUAGAAACCUAUGUUAUGCGGGCUAUGACUUUUGGGAUCAGUUGCGCACCAUUCAUCGCUCACUUCGUUCGAGAUAAAAAUGCAGAAGCCCAUCAAGAAGAUUUCCCAUUGGCCUUAAACGCCAUCCAAAAGGCGCACUACGUCGACGACUACAUCGAUAGCAUGAGGAACGAACAGGAGGCCAUCCAGACCACCAGACAAGUCAUAGAGGUUCAUCGAAGAGGCGGAUUCGAGAUCCGAAACUGGUCUUCUAAUUCAAAAGAAGUCCUUAAGAGCUUGCAAAGCAAUGGCAAUGUUGGUAGCCAAGAACCUGUGGAUUUUUGUUCGACUGAAAAGAUACUUGGUAUGUCCUGGGACCCACAUAAGGAUGUGUUUAAGUUUCUCUGCAGAUUUGCAAGGCUGAAACGCGACGUCCUGGCAGAAAACGUAGUCCCGACCAAGCGAGAAGUUCUGCAAGUCCUUAUGUCGAUCUUCGAUCCAUUAGGAUUCUUGUCGUGCCACACGAUUGGGCUGAAAAUACUUCUCCAGCGUAUAUGGCGGCUAAAUAUCGACUGGGAUCAGGAGCUGCCCGAGAAGAUUCUGGAAGACUGGCGCCUUUGGAAAACUCUUUUAGGGCAAAUCAGGAUUUUCGAGGUGCCGAGAUGCUUCUCCCCAGACACAUCAGAUCCCCGCCAAACGGAGCUCCAUACAUUCGUCGACGCCAGCGAGUAUGCGUAUUCUGCUGUCUGCUACUUGCGUGUAGCAAUGGAUGCCAAAGUCGACGUCUCUUUGGUGAUAGCGAAGUCAAAGGUGGCACCUUUAAAACCACUCUCGAUUCCGCGUAUGGAGCUGCAGGCAGCAGUUAUGGGAACACGCUUAGCCCACAAGGUGAUGAGCACGCGCAACCUGCGGAUCGACAACGCCACAUACUGGUCAGAUUCAAAGACAGUACUGCAGUGGCUGACUAUGGACCCCCGUAACUUUCAUCAGUUCGUGAUGCACAGAGUCGCCGAAAUCCUGGAAACAACGCAAGUCGAGCAAUGGCGGUGGGUACCCUCGAAGCUGAACGUAGCAGACGGAGCUACAAAGAUCACCGACCAAACCCAGCAGAAGACGUGGAUAACGGGGCCAGGGUUCCUAAAAGCUGAAUCCAGCCAUUGGCCAACAUCGACAAAGCAGGAGAGCAUCAUCGAUACUUCAGAAAUACGGAAGCAUGUGAUGACAACGUGUGCGAGAUCAGCGGUUAUGUUCAAUGCGCACCAUUUCUCGAGCUGGCGGCGGUUGUAUAGAGCAGUGGCGAUAAUAUUCCUGUUCGUCGAUCGGUUACGAGCGAAAUGCGCCAAGCAAGACAUGCCAACAGCCACGACGAUGGACCAUGUGAGGAAAGCGAAAAUACUACUUUAUAAGCAAUCCCAAGCCAUCGCCUUCGCCGAAGAGUUGAAAGUGCUAUCCGUGGGAGCGACGCUGCGCAAAGGAAACAGAUUGGUCGGAUUGAACGCAUAUGUAGACAACGAUGGAGUACUGCGGACUAGAGGCAGACUGAACUCAAUUGACAUAGCUGAAGACGCAAUUAUACUAGCUCCAGGAUGCCGGAUAACUAACCUAAUAGUGAGGAGCUUUCACGAGAAGUACCAUCAUCUUGCUCACGAGACUGCAAUAAACGACAUCAAGGCUUCGUUUUACAUCAGCCGCCUCCGAGUGUUGUAUAAAUCCGUGCGGAGUACAUGCCAACGAUGCAAGGUUGACAGUGCAGCUCCCAGACCACCCCAGAUGGCACCGAUUCCGAGAGCGAGAAUAGGAAGCUUCCAGAGACCGUUUACUUACACAGGCGUCGAUUAUUUUGGCCCGUUAUUGGUGAACGUCGGCAGGCGCAAAGAGAAGAGAUGGGUAGCUCUGUUCACCUGCCUCACGUUGCGCGCGGUGCAUUUCGAGAUCGCCUAUAGUCUGGACACAAGUUCAUGCAUCAUGUGCCUCUCCAAUUUUAUGGCACUUCGAGGGACUCCGAAGGAAAUAUUCUCAGACAAUGGUACGAACUUCAGAGCCACGGAAAAAGCCGUGCGAGAAGAGCUGAAAAAGAUCGAGCACGAUAAGAUCACCAUUAAGUUCGAUGGCAUAAAGUGGCGAUUCAACCCACCAGGAGCACCACACAUGGGCGGAGCAUGGGAGAGACUCGUCCGUACAACAAAAGGAAUUUUGAAAAACAUUUGCCCAAGUUACUCCUUCAACGACGAGGGCCUGAGAAACGCCUUGAUGGAGGCGCAAUUUAUCAUCAACUCGCGACCGCUCACGUUCGUAAGUCUGGACACUGAGGAUGACGCCGCUCUGACCCCGAACCACCUACUGUUGGGGUCAGCGAAUGGAUACAAGCCACUGCCAAAAGAAGGGAUGAAUCUGCAGCGUAGAUGGAUCGAGACUCAGCGCUUCGGGGACCGUUUUUGGCAGCGAUGGAUUAAAGAGUAUGCGCCCGUAUUAACCAGGCGCACCAAAUGGUUCGAGAAGGUACCUCCCAUAACCAUUGGGAGCAUCGUAGUCAUCGUAGAUGAGCUUCUACCCAGGAACUUGUGGCUAAAGGGACGAGUGAUCGACACAAUGAAGGCCAAGGAUGGACAAGUUCGACGAGUAACUAUAAAGACCCAGCACGGCAUUUUGGAAAGACCAGCAACGAAGAUAGCGGUUUUGGACGUCGGCUUGGAGGAUGGUAACUGACCACGAACCGGGAUCAAUUACGGGGGAGGGAAUGUUGCCGCCGUAACAGAAUUUUGAUUUAAAUUUGAAUUGUUUAGAAUAAGCACACAUAUGUAAACUUAUCGAUAGGUUUAGUAACGGCCAAAAGAAGGAAAAGCGUCGGCCAUCGCUAUUAGAAAGAAGAAGAGAAAUACGGUGAAGUUAACGUGUGGAUAAAACACGAAGUUUUUUAGCGCGCUUUUCACAUUUUUGUGGCACGCAUAUGGACUAAUAAAGAUUAUUAUUAAGAAAUUGUGUGUUUGCUAAAGAAACGUGGGGCCACACGUCCCGGAGACAACAGUCAGUGCGAACCACUUUCCCCAUCGCUCCUCACGGAGAGCUGCACUGCAGCCCAAGCUGCUCCCCGGCAUCCCAUGCAUUAUUCAAGUUUGUCUCACGACACUCGAGCUCCUGACACUCGAAAGUUGCUUGCCCCGGCUGGGUCGUUCGGCUUUUGAAACACUAUCACAAUAACACAUCAUUUGUCAGGCAAACAAACGAUGUUGCAUGUAACCUUAUCAUCUCACAUCCGUUGCAGACCCACAGUCCGUUGGUGGCGAGGUGGGGUGGAGGCCGCACACCUCGGGUCAUUCUAUAGCGACAAUGGCAACAAUGGCGCUGGACGAAGACAACUUCAGUCACGCUGCAGUAGAUGGGGUCCUCCGCACUCCCGCAGCUCCUUGUUCGCGUGUCUGCUGGUCCUUGUCCGGCACACAAUGCUGGCUAAUGAAUAAACAUGGCGUCCAUUCACUUCCGCUGCAGAAAACCAGUGCUUCCGCGCCCGACUCCUUUGGCCGCUUUGGCUCCUCUGCCCGGCUCCUGCGGGAAUGAUGUUAUAAAAUAUCCUCCCACCUCACCCAGGCCCAGCCUGGCAAGACGAAAGUCACACUCCAG